GAAAUGCGAUAAGUAGUGUGAAUUGCAGAAUUCAGUGAAUCAUCGAAUCUUUGAACGCACAUUGCGCCCUUUGGUAUUCCAAAGGGCAUGCCUGUUCGAGCGUCAUUUGUACCCUCAAGCUUUGCUUGGUGUUGGGCGUCUUGUCUCUAGCUUUGCUGGAGACUCGCCUUAAAGUAAUUGGCAGCCGGCCUACUGGUUUCGGAGCGCAGCACAAGUCGCACUCUCUAUCAGCAAAGGUCUAGCAUCCAUUAAGCCCUUUUUUCAACUUUUGACCUCGGAUCAGGUAGGGAUACCCGCUGAACUUAAGC
rnacentral:misc_RNA from 1 species